rnacentral:rRNA from 1 species
AUUGAACGCUGGCGGCAGGCCUAACACAUGCAAGUCGAACGAGUGGCGGACGGGUGAGUAAUGUCUGGGAAACUGCCCGAUGGAGGGGGAUAACUCCUGGAAACGGUAGCUAAUACCGCAUACCAUCGGAUGUGCCCAGAUGGGAUUAUCUAGUAGGUGGGGUAAAGGCUCACCUAGUCGACGAUCCCUUGCUGGUCUGAGAGGAUGACCAGCCACACUGGAACUGAGACACGGUCCAGACUCCUACGGGAGGCAGCAGUGGGGAAUAUUGCACAAUGGGCGCAAGCCUGAUGCAGCAAUGCCGCGUGUAUGAAGAAGGCCUUCGGGUUGUAAAGGACUUUCAGCAGGGAGGCGUUACCAGAAGAGGAAGCACCGGCUAACUCCGUGCCAGCAGCCGCGGUAAUAC